ACUGCAAUGGCGGAUGUGUGUUGGAUACUAGGGUUUAUUUUUAUUUUUUAGUUUUACGAGAAUAGUAGUGUCAGAGUGCGUUUUGAAUAUUAUUUAUUGUUUGAAAUCCGAGAUGUGGUUCUAAUUUUUCGUCUUUUUUUUAUUUUUUUGUAUUUGGUUGAUAUGAGAAAUACCGACUGAGCAUUCUACAUACGUAGGAACACUCAGUCUGAGAAUCUCUUGUGAGAAACAUGUUGUCUUGUAUAAAGAAAUCCCUAAUACGUAUUCAUGAUUACUCCCGCUUCAGUAACACUGCACUUUCCCUUCCGUCCGACCUUCAUGAACUUUUAGAAGAGCCUUCCUCCAAUUAUUGGCUCCCCAAAUUUCGUUAUUACCUUCAAAAUUUGGACGAUAAGAAUAAACAAUCUUGGCGGAUCACUACUCUCGACUUUAUUCUCAAACUGCGUCAAAUCUUAGAGUAUGAUAAACUCGAAUCCUCUCAAAAAUUUAUGAAUGAAAAACUACAAAAUAUAGUCAACGAACGGAAUCAAUUAAUUGGCGAGCUCUACUCCGAGUUCCUCAAAUCUGACUGUUUACAUCCCAUUGCCAUGUCGAGUGCUUUUAAUCGUGAAAGACUUUUAGCUCUCUGUAGAGAUAUUAUGAAUAAAGGAGCUCCAAGGCUCUUUAAUGAAAAAUUCGAUGACGAGCUUGAAAAACGUAGAAGACUGUAUACGAUAUUAAAUGAGGCUCUAAAUGAUUUCAGUGUUUGGCAGAAAAUGGAGAAGUUAUAUGAGAAAUAUAUACGAACGAAUCCAAGUCCCUCCGGUGCCUUGGCGGUUUUAUUGAGCAUUUUAUGAUGUUCAUUAUUUGAUUAAUAAAUAUAUAUUUGUUAUUUAUUCUGUUUUAUAUUUGUGGGGCUUUUUGGCGAAUUUUAUGCACACUGCUUAAAUUUAUGUACAACUCAAGAUAUUAAUAUUAUUUUUUUCUCACUUAGUGCUACCAUUGUUUGGCCUCACUAAAAAAAUUACCAUUUAAACAUAUGUAAGUUUUCACAUGCCAUAAAAAUCUCCCGUUUUUCUAAGAGUUAUUUCUUGAGCAGCUCUUUUGUAAUUUGUUGUCUGGUAUGUUUAUGUAAGACAUACUUCCUAUAAACUUUAGUUGUGCAGUUUUUCUGACACACUCCCCACUCCCCUUACCAAUUAUUUUAGCAUUCAUCAAUUCAACAAAAGUCUACAUAGUUACCAUGAGUGAAUAUUCAAGCAGAUUCAGCGUAUACUUACAAGCCCAAUACUUACUUCUUACAUUGUAUAUGAAAAAUGAUCUCAUUAUUACUAGUACUAUGGUAUGUUAUAUAUACGAAUGUUGUGUAUAUAUAGAUAUAAGAAAACAAAUUAUAUGUCUCCUCCCUCGGUUCAUUUGUCAUUUUGUAUAUGAACAAUAAUGAAAACUGUAACAAAAGUAUACUUCUGUUUUUUAAAUAUAUAUAUUUAUCUAACUAAAAAUUGUUGUAUAACCAUUUAAUUGAUAUGAGGAUUAAUGAUGAAUAUGACCCUCGUUUUUUUGAGAGCCUUUAAAACUCUUUUAUAUAUAUUAAAAUUUUGUUAAAAAAAAUAAUUAUUCAUUCAAAUAAUAUUAAUGAAAUAUAUUCAUUUUGUUGAAA
rnacentral:misc_RNA from 1 species